AUGGAGGACAAGGUCGAUGAGUACUUGUAUCUAGUUGGUCAGGAGCAUGAUAUUGGGUGUUGCUUUUACCUGAAGAAAGGAUUCCACAAACCAAGAUCUCUUGUUUCUUUGAACCGGAUAGCUUUCAAGGUGAAGCAAAUAGAGAAAGACCUUACACACCUGUCAGAGAAAAAAAACCGCUGGGUUACCCAGAUAAACAAUGGGGAUACUAACAACUCGAACUAUAUUGUCAGGAGGGCCCAAGAUCAGGCAAACAUGGCACAUUCCCUUGAUGAUGAAGAUCUCGUGGGGGUUGACGAAAACAGAGGAAAACUUGAGAAGUGGUUGGCAGAUGAUGAUUUGGGACGCUCUGUGAUAGCGCUGCUUGGAAUGGGAGGGCUUGGUAAAACAGCUUUGGCUGCAAAUGUCUACAAGGAGAGGGAGAAAUUCCAAUGCCAUGCCUGGGUUUCUAUCUCCCAAACUUAUUCUAGAGAAGAUGUCUUGAGGAACAUAAUCAAGGAACUUAUGAAAGAUAAAGUCAGUGGUCUAUCUUAUGCUGCAGCUAUGGACAUCACAUGCCUUGAAGAGACACUGAAGAGAUUUCUGGGGCAACAGAAGUAUUUGAUUGUAUUGUAUGAUGUUUGGACUCCAGAAUCAUUUGAUGACUUGUCUAGAGUGCUUACUCAUAAUGAAAAGGGCAGUAGACUGAUAAUUACAACAAGAGAAGCCCGUGUUGCCGCACAUGCCUCUCAAGGGCAUGUCUUAACAAUGGAAGCUUUACUAGCAGAUAAGGCAUGGGAUCUCUUUUGUAAUAAAGCCUUCUCAAGAGAUACAGAUCAUGAAUGUCCGAUGGAGUUGAAGCCUUUGUCUGAGGAAAUAGUUCGCAAGUGCAAAGGCUUGCCUCUUGUCAUUGUGUUAGUUGGUAGCCUCUUGCGUGUGCGUGAGAAAACUGUUGAAGAAUGGAGAAGAAUAAAUGUCCACAUGAGUUGGGAGCUAAUUAAUAAUUCAAGUCUCAGUGACAUAAGGAAUGUUUUGUAUCUGAGCUUCAUAUACCUUCCAACACGCUUGAAAGGUUGUUUCUUAUAUUGCAGCUUAUUUCCGGAAGACUAUCUUUUCAAGAGGAAACAACUUGUACGGUUAUGCAUCGCCGAGGGGUUGUGA
rnacentral:rRNA from 1 species